GACGAACGCUGGCGGCGUGCCUAAUACAUGCAAGUCGAACGCAGUGGGGACGGGUGAGUAACACGUGGGUAACCUGCCAUAAGAGGGGAUAACACUUGGAAACAGGUGCUAAACCGAUACUGAUGGAUGGAACCGGGGUGCAUUAGCUAGUUGGUGGGGUAACGGCUCACAAAGGCCACGAUGCAUAGCGGACUGGAGAGGGUGACCGGCCACACUGGGACUGAGAAACGGCCCAGACUCCUACGGGAGGCAGCAGUAGGGAAUCUUUGGCAAUGGACGAAAGUCUGACCGAGCAACGCCGCGUGUGUGAAGAAGGUUUUCGGAUCGUAAAACUCUGUUGUUAGAGAAGCGGUAUCUAACCAGAAAGCCACGGCUAACUACGUGCCAGCAGCCGCGGUAAUUC
rnacentral:rRNA from 1 species